rnacentral:rRNA from 1 species
GACGAACGCUGGCGGCGUGCUUAACACAUGCAAGUCGAACGGAAAGGCCCUGCUUUUGUGGGGUGCUCGAGUGGCGAACGGGUGAGUAACACGUGAGUAACCUGCCCUUGACUUUGGGAUAACUUCAGGAAACUGGGGCUAAUACCGGAUAGGAGCUCCUGCUGCAUGGUGGGGGUUGGAAAGUUUCGGCGGUUGGGGAUGGACUCGCGGCUUAUCAGCUUGUUGGUGGGGUAGUGGCUUACCAAGGCUUCGAAGGGUAGCCUGCCUGAGAGGGUGACCGGCGACAUUGGGACUGAGAUACGGCCCAGACUCCUACGGGAGGCAGCAGUGGGGAAUAUUGCACAAUGGGCGGGAGCCUGAUGCAGCAACGCCGCGUGCGGGAUGACGGCCUUCGGGUUGUGAACCGCUUUCGCCUGUGACGAAGCGUGAGUGACGGUAAUGGGUAAAGAAGCACCGGCUAACUACGUG